UAGGGAAUCUUCCACAAUGGGCGAAAGCCUGAUGGAGCAACGCCGCGUGUGUGAUGAAGGCUUUAGGGUCGUAAAGCACUGUUGUAUGGGAAGAAAUGCUAGAAUAGGGAAUGAUUCUAGUUCGACGGUACCAUACCAGAAAGGGACGGCUAAAUACGUGCCAGCAGCCGCGGUAAUACGUAUGUCCCGAGCGUUAUCCGGAUUUAUUGGGCGUAAAGCGAGCGCAGACGGUUGAUUAAGUCUGAUGUGAAAGCCCGGAGCUCAACUCCGGAAUGGCAUUGGAAACUGGUUAACUUGAGUGUUGUAGAGGUAAGUGGAACUCCAUGUGUAGCGGUGGAAUGCGUAGAUAUAUGGAAGAACACCAGUGGCGAAGGCGGCUUACUGGACAACAACUGACGUUGAGGCUCGAAAGUGUGGGUAGCAAACA
rnacentral:rRNA from 1 species